rnacentral:rRNA from 1 species
UACAGAGGGUGCGAGCGUUGUCCGGAAUCACUGGGCGUAAAGGGCGCGUAGGUGGCGACCCAAGUCGAUGGUGAAAGCUCGCCGCUCAACGGCGAGUCGGCCACUGAUACUGGGUUGCUGGAGCACUGUAGAGGCAGAUGGAAUUCCGGGUGUAGCGGUGGAAUGCGUAGAGAUCCGGAAGAACACCGGUGGCGAAGGCGGUCUGCUGGGCAGUUUGGCUGACACUGAGGCGCGACAGCGUGGGGAGCAAACAGG